rnacentral:misc_RNA from 1 species
ACAAUAAUAUUUUUUUUUUUUAGUUUUUAAAAUACCCACGAAAUCGCUGCAUUUAUUUUAGUCUUACUAUUCACGACACUCCAGUCUUCUUAAAUUUAUAUAGCUCUUUGACAGUUCCAGUCUCACGUGGACACUUGACAGUUGUCAGUUGACACCCUUGGUCCUUGACACUUGUUGUUUGUGGUGUUUCUUGCUGUGUGAUUGAUGCUAAUCAUUGGUUUGUUUACUGUUUAGUAAAAAACAUAGAGCUUAAAAAUCUUUUAAAAUAAUUAAUAUAUUGAGAUUUAAGAUAAAGAAAUAUUUCAACCACAACGUGAUUAUAGUAAACACCGACAAAUUGCAAUUAUAUCAGAUAUGGAAGAGGUCAGCAAACAAAUUUUGUUAAAAAAAUAUAAGGUGUCGAGUGAAAUUUCAACAUCUUCCUUUGACGAAAAUAAUAAUGAGAUAUACGAUGAGAAUCAUGAUCAUUCAAUAAUUGACAGUGUUAAUGAUGAUUGUCUUGCUGAAAUAUUCAUGUAUGUGCCAGUAUUUGAAAGACCUAAAAUUGCAUUGGUAUGUCAAAAAUGGAAUCGAGUCCUUGAUUAUUCUUGGGGUAAUGUCAAAAAACUUCAACUAACUCAUUGGGAAUAUAAUAAUGAGUCUCCAAAUUGUUUGAAGAAAUAUCCAACACCCGAUGAAAAAUUAAGCUUUCUAAAUUCAUUGCUUCCAAAGUUUGGUCGUUAUUUAACACAAUUAGACUUGACAGCUUAUGGUCAUAGUAACAUAGCGCCAGUUAUUAAUGAAUAUUGUCCAAACCUCGUGAAACUUCGAUUGAGAUUAAUCUAUGACGAAACCCAUAAACUAGGUUGGAGACCAUUUUCUCGUCUAUCUAAGCUCAAGGUAUUAACAGUUAUAUUUCAACAUCAUCUAAAACACCACGCUAAGCUCAAUGAGUUAGUACAUGCAUUGGAAUCCCUUGCUGAUACAUUGACUGAUCUGACUCUCUUCAAUUGGAAAGCUGACGAACCCUGGGCAUAUAGUAGACCUAGGGGAUUUCCAAAGUAUUUACCCUGUGAAUUUUCGAUGAGUAUCGUUCAUGUGCUUCGUCGACUAAAGGCUCUGAAAAGAUUUGAAUUUGGUGGUAUACUAAUUUUUCCAAAGUUGAGAGAGUAUUUGAAAAAUAAUAGCACACUAGAAUGUCAUCCUUAUAUGAUCAUUUCAGAAACAAAAAUGUUAAGCCAAAUCAGUUAAUGAGUAUAACUACAUUGGAUAUGUUGAGAUACAAAAUUUCAGAUGAUAGUUUGUAUACUAUUGCCAAUACCUUGCAGCAAUUAACAACGCUCAAAAUAAAUUGUGGAUGGAUAACUAAUGAUGGUGUAGUAGCCAUUUCAAAGUUGAAUAAUUUAACACAUCUUUGGUUUGUCGGCAUCAAUAACAGCAUUGAUUCUUCAUCAAUCAAAUUGCUCAAAAACUUGACUAAAUUAAUGUUACCACGCAGCAAUAAAAUUACUGAUAAUUUAGCCAUGAAAGUUCUCGAAAAUUCACCAAAGCUGGAGGUGUUGUUUGUUCUGCAGCAGUCAAGUGUAACUGUUGAAUUUAUCACAAAAGCAGCAGAAGUAUCAAGAAAACGAGAAAAAUUUUUGAAAUUAGCUGUUUCUUUCAAAACUGAGGAAAAACAAUAUGAAUCGCCAUAUUUCAGAAUUCUUGUUGUACCAGAAUGUAAAAAAAAGGAAAUUAGAUAAUUGACAAAUUUUAAUGAUAACUGAUAUAUUAAUAUCAUAGAUUAAAAAAUAAUUUUUUUAAUAUUAUACAUUUUUUUUUUUUACUUGUAAAAAUUUAUUAAAAAUUUUUAUAAUAUAAAAAACCUAAUAAACAAAAUGUUCAUUUAUAAUAACAAUAAUAUAUAUAUAUAUAUUUUUUUUUCUAUCAGUUUUUAAAAUACCGACAAAAUCUCUUCUUAAAUUUAUAUAUAGUUGUUGAACAGCUGUUUCAGCGACAUGUGGACACAGCUGAACAGCACAGAACUGUCACAGUUUGCACUAUGGUUCGUGCUUCGCUGUGCUUUGUGGUGCUUCAAUUGUUUAUAGUAAAAAACAUAGAGCUUAUAAAAAAAUCUUUUAAUAUAAUUAAUAUAUAUAUUGAGUUGAAAAAAUAUUAAACCAAAACUUGCUCCUAGUGAAUUGUUAAAUAUGGAAAAAUUUAGAGAAAAACGUAAACCAGAGUCGGAAAACCUUUUUUCUAAAAAAUAUAAGGUGUCAAGUGAAAUUUCAACACCUUCUUUUAACGCAAAGGAUAAUGAGACAUACAAACAUACAACAAUUGAUUGUAUUAAUGAUGAUUGUCUGGCUGAAAUAUUCAUGUAUGUGCCAGUAUGGGAAAGACCUAGAAUUGCAUUGGUAUGUCAAAAAUGGAAUCGAGUCCUUGAUUAUUCUUGGGGUAAUGUCAAAAAGCUUGAACUGACUCACUGGGAAUAUAAUGAGGAUGCAAAUUGUUUGAAGAAAUAUCCAACACCCGAUGGAAAAUUGAGCUUUUUAAAAUCACUACUUAAUAAAUGUGGUCGUUAUUUAAGACAAUUAGACUUGACAGCUUAUGGUCAUAGUGACAUAGUGCGAGUUAUUAAUAAAUAUUGUCCAAACCUCGUGAAACUUCGUUUGAGAUUCACCUCUGAUAACGAUGAAAUUGUAGUAUAUGAUGCAUUUUCCCGUCUAUCUAAGCUUAAAGUAUUAGCAGUUAUAUUUCAAUAUCAUGAAAAACACCAGUCUAAGCUUCAUUAUUUAAUCACUGCAUUGUUACCCCUUGCUAAUACAUUGACUGAUCUUACUCUGUUCAAUUGGAAAGCUGAUGACGUAUCCUGCAGUACAAAUAGUACACCUAAUAUACCCUGUCUAUUUCCCGGGAUCACCAUUUGGAUGCUUCGUCGACUAAAGGCCCUGAAAAGAUUUGAAUUUACUGGUAUAGAAAUGUUCCCACAGUUAGAAGAAUAUCUGAGAGAUAGUCACACACUAGAAUGUUUUUACUAUGAUUGUUUCCUUCCUUAGCCAUUUUAAAGAUGAAUUUUAAAAUUAUUUGUUCAACAAAAAAAAUUAGAUAAUUGACAAAAUUCGGUGAUAAUACUGAUAUUAAUACUGUAUAUAUAUAAUGCUAGAUAGU